rnacentral:rRNA from 1 species
ACUCCUACGGGAGGCAGCAGUGGGAAUCUUAGACAAUGGGGGAAACCCUGAUCUAGCCAUGCCGCGUGGACGAUGAAGGCCUUAGGGUUGUAAAAGUCCUUUCAGCUGGGAAGAUAAUGACGGUACCAGCAGAAGAAGCCCCCGGCUAACUCCGUGCCAGCAGCCGCGGUAAUACGGAGGGGCUAGCGUUGUUCGGAAUUAC